UACGAAGGGUGCAAACGUUAUCCGGAUUCACUGGGUUUAAAGGGUGCGUAGGCGGGCAGGUAAGUCAGUGGUGAAAUCUCCGGGCUUAACCCGGAACUGCCGUUGAUACUAUCUGUCUUGAAUAUCGUGGAGGUAAGCGGAAUAUGUCAUGUAGCGGUGAAAUGCUUAGAUAUGACAUAGAACACCGAUUGCGAAGGCAGCUUACUACACGAUCAUUGACGCUGAGGCACGAAAGCGUGGGGAGCAAACAGG
rnacentral:rRNA from 1 species